rnacentral:lncRNA from 1 species
AUCAAAAUUAUCACCUUGAGAACCCCGGAACUCCGUCCACAAUUUAAGAGCUGUUAAGCCAGCAGCUCUUUUAGAUGAUUGUGAUGUACCCCUGAACUCCGUCCACGAUUUAAGAGCUAUUAAUCCAGCAGCUCUUUUAGACGAUUGUGAUGUAGAUGAAGCAGGGGUUGGAAUAUUUGGCCUAGCAUGCUCUAACGCCUAUUAAUAAGCAUUAUAAACAGCUUGAGCAUUAAUUUUAAUUGAUUCUUUCGCAUAAGCUAGUGUAGCAAUUUCGUCUUCUGAAAGAUCUAAAGCUCUAUAAAUAUUAGAAUAUCAAAAGUGAGGACCUCCACAUUUCAUUGUUGGAUUUAACAUAGCAGCUACACCAAAAAUAGGAGGGAUUGGAAAAAAAUAUUUUUUAAACUUUGUUUCAUUUCAUUUAUUUCAAGUUCAUAAAUAUCCCCACCCUCGCUAAAAUCAACAAACANNN